rnacentral:hammerhead_ribozyme from 1 species
UAGCGAAACGCCCCCUCCGGGGGCGUCGCCCCGGGGUGGUGCCCGGGGCCUGACGAGCCAGCCGCUC